rnacentral:lncRNA from 1 species
UUUAGACUAAAGAAGAUGAUAAAGAGAUUAGCAUCUGAUCAGGCAUCUAUAAACAAGUAAUGCAAAAAAGCUUUUUGCACAAAAAGCCUAAUUACUUUGGGAGAAAAUCCUUCUUUGCACACAGAAGGACAGAUCAUGUGCUAGUUCUAAUUUAUGCUGAUCCUUAUAUAUUGUACAGUAGCGAUCUGCUUUAUCCCUUGGCUGUCUCUACGUGACAUGCGAUUUUUCACAGUACUUCCCAGUGAUUUUCAGAAUCCAGGAGCAAUUCAGCAUGGCGAACAAUGGCAAGCAAGACAUGUCAUCAAUUAAUUCAGUUCCCUGCAUUUUGCAACGAGGUGAAAUAACUGUUCAGUCUUGCAAGAGGACAGGCACUGCAAAAUCUUCAUGCUUCUGGGCAAGUAUCACUGAUGUUAGUGCAGGUCCUGGAACAGGGCAUGCAAGUUAAGCAUAUUUGGGAGUUGUUUAGUGCAGUGUAAAGGAAUUUCUUUAUCUCUUUUGGUAGAAUCUAUGAAGCAAAUUUGUAUUAGAACUGGCUGGAAUAUUUCUGAGUAAGUGAGAUUUUCUCAAAUGCAAAUGUUUUGCGAAGAUGUAUCAACACAAUUUUAAAAGAGAAAGAGAGAGAUAAAAAGAAAGAUUUUACGAAUACCAUCAGCAAAGUAGUGGCUCUAGAAGACAGGAAGUGCCUAGCCAAGGCCUUUUAUUUACUUCAAGAUUAUCUCAGAUAAAGAACUUUUGAUCACUGCUUGCAGAUCUAAUUUUGAAUCUUUGUCCCAUAACUACAUCCUAACAAUUUAAACAUGCAACUUCUUACUGGUAUAAAGUCAAUAUUUUAGCUUACUUAUAUUUUAAUGAAUCCAUUUGAAAGGCUUCAGUUUCAUCCUACUGUGUAGUGGAACAAAGCCACAAAACCUCAGUAAAUGCCACAAAACAGAAUUAUCUUUGAGUUGGUUCUGUUUAGAGUCAAUGUAGCAGGGUCUGCCCAUGGGAAUCAUUGCAAGACUCCUUCACCGUGUCAUUCCAAAGAUGCAUACCUCUAAAUGUAAAUCAUAUCUGCUUAUAUUGCAAUCUCAGUAAAUAUGAGAUUCAAGCAUAUAGCAAGAGAUACUGUUUAUUUCUGGCAUUAUUUAAUAAGUACUCUUUCCAGAACAUACACUUUUCCCUACAAAUUCACCUUAAAAAGAUAUGGAGCAAACAAUGAUCUUAGUGACAGAUUUUCUAUACAUAAAAUUAUACGAGGUUUUCCAUGAAAAGAGUAUGAUAUAUCAUUCUAGGCCCAGAAAUAGGAGAUUUAUCCUUUUGAGAAAUUUGUAGCCUAUGAAUGUAUCCUCAUAGCUAGUUAUCUGCCUAGGUCUCAAAAUAAAGUAUUUGGAACGCAUAAGGUUCA